rnacentral:rRNA from 1 species
CCAGACUCCUACGGGAGGCAGCAGUGAGGAAUAUUGGUCAAUGGCCGAGAGGCUGAACCAGCCAAGUCGCGUGAGGGACGACGGCCCUACGGGUUGUAAACCUCUUUUGCCGGGGGACAAACGGCGGCACGCGUGCCGUCCUGAGGGUACCCGGAGAAAAAGCAUCGGCUAACUCCGUGCCAGCAGCCGCGGUAAUACGGAGGAUGCAAGCGUUAUCCGGAUUUAUUGGGUUUAAAGGGUGCGUAGGCGGACUGGAAAGUCAGCGGUAAAAUCGAGAGGCUCAACCUCUUUCCGCCGUUGAAACUGUCGGUCUUGAGUGGGCGAGAAGUAUGCGGAAUGCGUGGUGUAGCGGUGAAAUGCAUAGAUAUCACGCAGAACUCCGAUUGCGAAGGCAGCAUACCGGCGCCCGACUGACGCUGAGGCACGAAAGCGUGGGUAUCGAACAGGAUUAGAUACCCUUGUA